GUUGUGGUUCAGUGGUAGAGUGCUCACCUAGUAUGCACGAGACACUGGGUUCGACCCUCAGCACCACA
rnacentral:tRNA from 1 species